rnacentral:rRNA from 1 species
UACGUAGGGGGCAAGCGUUGUCCGGAUUUACUGGGCGUAAAGCGUGCGCAGGCGGUUAUGCAAGACAGAUGUGAAAUCCCCGGGCUCAACCUGGGAACUGCAUUUGUGACUGCAUGGCUAGAGUACGGUAGAGGGGGAUGGAAUUCCGCGUGUAGCAGUGAAAUGCGUAGAUAUGCGGAGGAACACCGAUGGCGAAGGCAAUCCCCUGGACCUGUACUGACGCUCAUGCACGAAAGCGUGGGGAGCAAACAGG